rnacentral:rRNA from 1 species
UAGAUACCCUAUUAUUUUAAGAUUAAGUUCCCUAAGGUAGUAGUUGGAAUAAGCUUGAAACCUAAAGAAUUUGGCGGUGUUUGUUAAAAUCAGAGGAACCUGCCAUAUAAUUGAUACUCCUCACUUCCUCUUACUUCUUUUAAGUUUGUAUACCGUCAUCUAAAGUACCUUUAAAAGAAGAGAGUACUUAAAUUGACCUCACAUUGAAGUUAGAUCAAGGUGCAGCUUUUAGAAAUAGAUUUAGGUGGGUUACAAUAAGUAUAAAUAUGAAUUUUUAUUAGAAAGAAUAAACUAAAAUUGGAUUUGAAAGUAAUAAAGGUUUAAAAAGCCCUUAUGAGUUUAGUAUCAAACAAGUACACAUCGC